rnacentral:rRNA from 1 species
AUGGCCACUGUGCUUUAUCUUUCACUCAAGACAAGAUAUAAUGCGGAGAUACAUUUGAAAGUCAAAAUGUUUCUCAAGACAUAUGGAACAUCGAAACCCACAAGGUACACUUUAUCUGAAGUUAAGAAGAUGGCAAAACGGUUUGAGGAAAAAGUAGGGCAGGGAGGAUUUGGAAGUGAAUACAAAGGUGAGCUACCAAAUGGAGUGCCUGUGGCAGUCAAGAUGCUAGAGAACUCUACAGGAGAGGGAGAAGUAUUCAUCAAUGAAGUUGCAACCAUCGGACUAAUCCACCAUGCUAAUAUUGUCCGUCUCCUUGGAUUUUGUUCCGAAGGAAUGCAACGGGCUCUUAUUUAUGAAUGUAUGCCUAAUGAGUCACUGGAGAAAUACAUAUUCGCUGAUGACUCUAAUAUUUUUCAGCAUCUUCUAGUACCAGGCAAGCUGCUAGAUAUUGCUUUAGGCAUCGCCAGAGGAAUGGAGUACUUGCAUCAAGGGUGCAACCAACGCAUCCUCCACUUUGACAUCAAGCCUCACAAUAUAUUGUUGGACCCCAACUUCAAUCCAAAGAUCUCAGACUUUGGCCUUGCCAAGUUGUGUGCAAGGGACCAAAGCAUUGUGACCUUACUGUCCGAGCAUUGUGACCCAAGAUGGCUGCAUGCAUCAUUAUGA